UCUUGUUAGGCAAUUAAGUUACUUGCAAAUCAUAUUAAUGUAUUCAAAACUUAUUUUUAAGCUUUGUUAGGGUUGUCCAAAGUAGCCCUAACUCUAGGGCUAAUUAAGCGAAACUACCAACACAUGAUUCUCUAGGUUCUUUACCGACUUCCUUGAGGCUCAGUGGGGUUUCUCAGCUCUGGCUGGAAGGGAUUUGAGUAUCUCUUAACCUUGCUUAAACUCUAGGAGUUGUGCAGGUUACAGUUCCCGGAGUAUUUUUCCUGAGCAGUUACUAUUUGUGCAGCUUUGUGGAGUUUUGUUGUAUCCAUGCAUAGUUAAGGGGGCCUUUAUGCAUAUUUCUCUACAGAAAUUGUUACUCUCCAAUAAUUUGCCCUGCAAAUUCUGGCUGUCUCAUCCUCCCACAAGUUCAAUAUUUGUCUUUUCAGCUUAGCAACAUUUCUUUUGCAUUUCUUGGGAUCUUCCUCCCUUUGCCAUCUUCCAGAAAUUGUCUAUAGGCAGAAAGCAAGGGCAAUAGUAGGCUUCACCUCUGUUUUCCUUUUCUCAGUGAUCACAGUCCCACUCUGCCUGUUCUCUCAAUGUCUGAAAGAUUUGUUUUAUGUAUUUUGCCUAAGUUUCUAGUUAUUUGUGCUAAGUAGGCUGGUUUUGUACCAGAAGCAGAAAUCAACUAAAGAUGAAUUUUAGGGAAGAGUUCUGGAAUAUGCCUCAUUGGCCAGAACUGAAGCUAUCUAUACCUACAAAGGAGACUGGAAAUGCAGCUUCUUCUGGGAAAAUAAAACAAAGGAGAGCAGAUUUUGUGAAAGAGUGAGCAUUAUAUACCAUCAUUGGAUAGUUGUUAGCUCACUUACCAGCGUAGCAACUUCUUGAGUGGAGGGUCAGAGCUUUCCUCAUUUCAGUAGCCUAUGAAGAGCCUGGUGCUCAUGACGUUCUUAGGAAAAAAACAUUGAAAAGAACAUGAUCCUGAGUACUGAACUCAUAAUUAGGCAUGAAGAAAGGAGACAAUGUAUGGUGGGUGAAAGUGGCAGAGAGAGUUGGAGACAAGGUUGGAAAUUAUCUUGGAGCUCCAAAUGCAUUGGCUCAUAGAUUAUUUUAAAACUCUGUUGAGGAAUCCGGGACUACAGAGCCCUGUUGUUCCCCUCACCUCCAAUGUCCUUUUCCAGACACCCAUGUCAUGUGUUUUAAAGCUCAGAUCAUAGAUCAUAAGCGAGCUACUAGAUGGAGCCUUCUCUGAUGUCCUACUUGUGGCACAGUUUUUCUACAGCAUGGUUUCUGUCAAGUUUUCAAAGCAUAUAAUGAUUCAUACUGCUGAUUUCUACCCUCAAGAAAGUGGAAUCUAUUCGGAAUUUCAAAAUAAAAACAAAGUUGUCUUUUAUUUCUGUUACUUUUUUACUUCCGUCACAAUGCCUGCCACCGUGAACACAAAGCAUAUUAAAUAAGAUCACUGUUCCUUGACCUGGUGUCAAGCAGCUGUUUGGAAGUUGUUUGUGUGUCAGUUGAGACAUAAUAAUAGAAUAAGCAUCCUGACAUCACUUGCCCUCUGACCACCAGUAGUGAUAGGGCUUGCUUUACUCAAGGAGGAAGUCCUUAACAACUCGAUCUACCCAGGCAAACACAACAAUCAUUCAGCUUUUUGUUUCAUUUUUUCCUUAACCUAUCACCAUGAAACAAAAUGGAUCUUUGAUCUCAGGCUGAAUGGAGGAAGAAGAGCUUUUCUAGUUGACGCCUGUCACAGAGAUCUGAUGAAGUCAAUGUAAAUGAGUCCGCAGAAGCUUGAUAGCCUAUAGAAGUCCUUGAAAAUCCCGAAUGGCACGAGAAGGUUGAAAACUAGUCAAGAUGCUGAUAUCUUCAAGAAGUUAAAUAUAACCUAAAAAAAUUAUUUGUCACAGAAUAAGGUUGGUUUAAAAAAUUGUAAAGGGGAGGAGAGUGGAGAUUCAAGCCUAGAGAGGAAGGCUGAAUAAGAAGAAAGUAAUUGUGAAGUCAACUGUAAAAUAUUUCCUGGGUCUCACCUGGUAAAUCCACACGGGCUUCCUGAAAGAGGAAGGCUAGAGUUACUUUUGAGUUGCCUUUCAAAUGAUAAGCAGGGUCCUUGAGUAAACAGGAAAUGAAAGACUCGAGAGAGUAGCUGAGGAAGGAUGCAGAAGUGAAAAGGAGAGGGGAGCCAUCAGCACCCCAGAUUUAAUUUGAUGGAGAAUUUUCUCUAUUUGUUUAUGUGUGUGCCCGUCUUUAUUAGACUGUCUGUUUGCCUUUCAAGGGCUGGGACUGUGCCUCAUUCACCUUCAUAUUCUAGUAUAAUGCAAGCUUAGGAAAUUAUUGUCUAAAUACAUACACUCAGACAUAAAUGGAUGAGAGUAAGAAUAAAGGCAUAAGUGGUGGUAUUUAGCAGCAGCCUUGGCUGUGAGCUUAAGACUGUUUUUUGUGACCUGCCAUCUUCCUUUGCGCAACAACACAGCUCAUGAUGAUGUUCCAGAGCAUUUUGCCACCAGAAAAUGAGGCUUGCUUUUGGUCUUUUGAAGGAAGACUGCAGUGAACAGUUAAAUUGACUUUAAAUUUAGCAGCAUUGGGCAAGAAUAGAAAUGUUCUAAUCCUGUCUCCUCCUACGGAAUGUGAAUUGUGGUCAAAGUAAUAUGUUUUUGCCUUCUGUGAUUUCGAUCAAAUUUCAUAGGCCAGACAGGGCGUAGGGAGCCAGGCUGCACAGCCACUCUCCCUGGUAAACAGUGUCACACCUCCCUUGGACAGCCCAGGGUACCAUGUGUGCCCUGGCGUUACAGACACCUCACCAGGGCUUGUCUGUUCUCCCUGCCUUGUUUCUCAGCCCAGUGUUCAUGUGGAGUUUGGCUUCCUCUUCUUAGAACUGGGAAAGGCAACGCUGUGCAGGUGUGAGAGGUACAUACACAUGCGCCCAGAAGAUGCUGCCCCAGAAAAACAUACCCAGGGCCUGUAUUUGACUCAGAGUUUAAGGUCUUACUUUUCAUUAGAAAAUAAGAUCACUAGCUCUAAAAUUUCCACUGGGGAAGACUGGGUUGGCUUAGCAGGGCAGUGCUAUCUGAUGGGCAGCUGUAUUCUAUAAAGUAGAUGAGGGAAGAUGACAGAAUGGCAUGUCUGUGGGCAGAAAGCAGAAGGGAAAUUGGCUUCCCUUCAUAGGCCACUAAGGAAAGGGUUAUCCAGUGGCCUGCUGGAUUUGACACUAUCUGCCUGCCACAUCUGAGCUCAGCAUUUUUGCUUUGACACGCAUGGGUCAUUCUACCCAUUGAGCUUCAGCAAUUCCCUAUUACAGAUGCUUAUUGGCAACAGAAUCUUAAGUCCAAUAAAGGAGCAAAGAGAUUUUACUUUGGAAGGAAAUACUAUGGAUUCUUCAGUCAUUCAGAGGCCUCACCUCCUCCCUUAAUGAGUGCUCCCAAUGUAAAGGUAUAAUGACUGGCUAACUAAAUGCUUUGGGGGUAUAGGAAUGAGGACACACAUCUAGAAAAGUGGAUUUUAGAAGAAGAAAAGACAGUAUAAUGAAAACAAGUUUAAGAAAGAGCAAAAAUAAAAUUUGACUUAUGUAUAUCAAUUGUGAUGAACUGUAAUUAUGCAUUACAUGGAACAAGUCUACACAAUCAGAUAAGAAUUCUUCACUAAUUUCCUCUUUAUUUGUCUAUGUCAUAAUCCACACUAGGGAAGAAACAACCUCUACUUUUUAAAAGUCACAAAUAUUAAGCCUAUAAAAAUAUCAAUAUCUUAUCAAAGUUUAGCUCAAAUUUAUACAGGAAAACAAAGGUUCAUUCCAACCCACCUAGCUUCUUCUGAUGGUUUAUUAAGUAGUAUUUAAGAAAAUUGAGUCUCAUAUUAUCUGGCCAAAAGAUAUUUUUCUUGCCUCUGUAUUAUUAAACAACACUUACUGAGACUAUUCAUCAGAUGUCCAGAUUAAUCUUGACGGUGAAGAAUACAUGAACUCUAUAUGCAAUCUUAAAAAGGAGUAAUAUAAUAUGCUAGUUUUCUCUUUCGUGUCCAUUCCUCAAAACUUGAUUAUUAUUAGGUUAGGCUCAUCCUUUACUAAUUACCUUUAGUUAAGAUUUCUUAGUUUGCAAAAAUUAUUGAAUUUAUAUUGACUUAACUGAAUGAGCAUUUGAAAACUGUCUCUCAUAGUUCAUCAUGAGUACUGAAUUGUUCCUCCUCUUUUUCUUUAAGUUUCUUCUCUUUACUACAUAUUUUUCCCCAACCAGUUAUUUUUGUUGUUGUUAUUUGCUUCUUAAAAAUUCUGUGAGGCUUAUUUUUAGAAUAUUUUAUAAAUCUGGCUAUGUCUAAGAAUGGCAAACUAUGAUAAUUGAUGUACUUAAUAUUUGCUAACACAUGUCUAUUCCACUGUCAAUGAAAAGACUGUGCUUGCUUUGAUCAAGAAUUAGCCAAAAUUUGGAACUCUCAGAAAGCUAUUUAUUUAUUCCAGAACAAAGCAUUUGGUUUGUACUACCAUCAAAAUAUUCUAAGUGGCUAGUUACACUGGUAAAAAAAAUAAGAUAUCUCUUUUGUUCAGGCCUUCAGAAUUUUAACAUCAUACAAAAUCAAUAAAGCUCUUAAAUGUAAAUCUAUGAAGAUGAGACACACUGAUUUCUUGGCUAUUGUUUACUGAGGUGAUUAAAAAAAGCCUUGCAGCCCAAACAGAAUUUUAUUUUCUCUGUCAAUAAGAACAAUAUACUUCCAUGGAUAAGUAUGUCAUCUAUGGAAGCAUUUCAGAUGUCUGUGUUGCAGAUGCAGAAGUUAUCUCUUGGGAUUUCCCUGCACCACAUCACAUACUAGACUAUCCAUUGUAGGAAAAGAUGGUUGGGUCGAUUAUAGGAGUUGUCCUUGGAAUCAAUUCCAAGCGCUCCAGAAACUUACAUCUAUAGGUCUGACUUAAUGUAAUUCAUAAUUGUCCCAUGUUAUAGGUCUGACCUAAUGUAAUCCAUAAUUGUCCCAUGUUAUUUUUUAAAAUGUGGCUGAUAUAGAUCUCCUAGAAAAAGGUCACAUAAUUAGAAUUAUUUCAGUAUUUAAUUUACAGGGAAAUUCGGGGGUUCAAAGUAGUCAGGAGAUGCUUUAAGUGAAAGACGUUGCCUAAGGCCGUUCUAGUAAGUAUGAUAACGGUUUGUAAAAUCACCAUCAGCUACAUCGUCAUUUGAAAACAGAUUUAAGAAAUAUAUAUAUACUCAAAGCACUGCACUAAAGGAAAACAGACCAAGACUAGUAAUAUUAAUCCACUGUCAUCCAGUUGGCUGGCCUACCUGCUACAGAAGCUGAGGCUCAGCUGGCCUGCCAAUGGGCUUGAGCCCGUGGGGAUCUGUGACUGUACCAUGACUCACUGACCCUGCAAAAGCCAAACUGGCUCCGUUGUCUUUGUCCAGAGUCCUCAUUUCAAGGCCUUGGCCUCUCUUGCCUCUUUACCAAGGUAAAAGGCAGCAAUAAGUAUGAAGAGUCAGACAAAAAAAAAAACA
rnacentral:lncRNA from 10 species